AUUUAAAUAGUUUAAAAAAAAAUUAUAGUUUGUGGUUCUAUAGAUGUAAGAUAUUACUUUAAAUA
rnacentral:tRNA from 1 species